GGGGGGUCUCCGUAGAGGCCCCGAGGGAGAGUGGGGCGAGGGAAAGAAGAGAAAACCUUCAGCGAGGGUAGUCGAAAAGAAGAGUCCUGCGAUAGAAAGCCACUCUAGGAGUAGGAGAGAUCUCUACGCGCUGGAGACAUCAACUUGGGGAGGGCCAGUUACCCCCGAUGCACCGCCUUUCCUAGGACAGGAAGAAGUGACCUAUUGCAGUGUUUCCACUGCUGUUACACAGAUUCAUACAAUAGUUCCCAGAUUCAUACAAUUGUGUAGUUAGUAAGAGCUCUUCGUUAGUUUCUUUUUUUAAAUUUUUAGUUAAGCUGUUCCUUUAAUAAUAGAUUUCAUUUAGAAGAAAAGGAAUAAACGUAUUUAAUAACAAGACAGAUUUUCCAAGUAAGAAAGAAUGCAAGCCCCGUAUAAAUGGUGGAGAAUUUACCCAAUAUCACUUCUAAAGCAUUCCUAAUGCAAUAUAAUGGUUAUUUUCAGUCCUUAAGCUAUAUUCCUUCCAUGCCUGUCUUAGUUUCUCUCCUAUCCUCUGUACUCACUAGUUUUGUUUCCUUUUUUUUCCUGCAUCUUUUAAAAAAGUUAGUGUAUUUAGUCAACUGAACAGUAAAAGUUAAACCGAAACAUCUAAAUACCAAUAACAAGAAAUAAAAUCUGAAGACUUUUUUACUUAUUGCUAACGCUUUGGGUUGUGGAAUACUAUUCAGAAUAAAUUUCCUUUUCUUUUAUAGACCAUCUUUGGUAGAAUGUUAUACAGUUUUUAAUAGAUUCAAGUUAUAGAAUGAUGCAGCUAGAACAUUAAAUAAGGAGUAGUGGAAAAUUUACAGUUAUAUAAGUUAAUGCAAAAUUCCACUUAAAGUAAUAGAAAAAUUGGGCUCUGUACCAAAUCAUUUUACAUUAAUUUAGUUCAGUUGUGCCAAUUGAUAUUAAAUGAUUUCCUGUUUUAGUAUUAGCUGAAAGUUACUGAUUUUCUGCUCUAAACAUUGCAUGGUGCUAAUAGUUUUUCAUCUAUUUUAUAAAUUUCUAUUCUCAGCUGAUUUCUAUGUAGCAUUUGAGACUUUAAACAAUUUUAUACUUUGAACGUAACUGAAAAUUUCCUGUUUAGUAAACUUUUAUUUUGUAAAAAACACCAUAGAAGAUUAAUAACUAUGUAACAUCAGAAGUUUUAUAGCAAAUAUAUUACCAAUGUUAGCUCUCUUUUUUCUAGAGUUCGCUCAAAAGUUAUUAAGUCUUCAAUAUGUGCAGAUCACAAUGCUGUGCGCCCCAGUCCUGUCCCCAAGAGUGGAAUUUAUUUCAUAAGGUACUGAAGAUAAAGAAUACACCCUUAGAAUUUGAGGACAAAGUGAGAAAAUACCAUCAAAUGAAAUAUGUAACAUGUAAAAUAAACUUUAUUUGUAGAAAUUCCAGCAUUUUUAGCAACAUGGAUGGACCUAGAAAUUAUCACACUAAGUGAAGUCAGUCAUACAAUGAGACACCAACAUCAAAUGCUUUCACUGACAUGUGGAAUCUGAAAAAAGGACAGAAUGAACUUCUUUGCAGAACAGAUACUGAUUCACAGACUUUGAAAAACUUAAGGUCUCCAAAGGAGACAGUUCGGGGGUGGGGGAUGCGCUGGGGUUGUGGGAUGGAAAUCCUAUAAAAUUGGAUUGUGAUGAUCAUUGUACAACUAUAAGUAAUAAAUUCAUUGAGUAAUA
ensembl:lncRNA